AGCCCCGUAGUGUAGUGGUCAAUCAUCUCGGACUCUGGAUCCGAGGACGGAGGUUCGAAUCCUCCCGGGGCUA
rnacentral:tRNA from 1 species